rnacentral:rRNA from 1 species
CGUAGGGUGCGAGCGUUAAUCGGAAUUACUGGGCGUAAAGCGUGCGCAGGCGGUUUUGUAAGGACAGGCGUGAAAUCCCCGGGCUCAACCUGGGAACUGCGCUUGUGACUGCAAGGCUAGAGUACGGCAGAGGGGGUGGAAUUCCACGUGUAGCAGUGAAAUGCGUAGAGAUGUGGAGGAACACCAAUGGCGAAGGCAGCCCCCUGGGUCGAUACUGACGCUCAUGCACGAAAGCGUGGGUAGCAAACAGGAUUAGAUACCCUGGUAGUCCACGCCCUAAACGAUGUCAACUAGGUGUUGGGUGGGUAAAACCAUUUAGUACCGGAGCUAACGCGUGAAGUUGACCGCCUGGGGAGUACGGCCGCAAGGUUA